GGAUAUGAAGGCGAUCUGACUGCAACAUCUGUCACCCCAUUGAUAGCCAGGGCUGACUCGGCUGAUCUGGCUGGCAAGGCUUGUGUCCCCUUCCUCCCUCACCACUCCACAUGUGUCCCUCCUGAAGCUGCGUACCUGGUCAUCAGUCAUGGGCAUACAGUAGCUGGGCUUCCCUGCUAGAACCUCCAAACAAGCUCAAGGUCCAGUUGCAGAAGAACGUAGGGUAGUCAAGCUUCCAAGAUUGCAGACACAUCCAAGUAAGGUGCUGCAUGUGGCAGUCUGCCAUUCUUU
rnacentral:snRNA from 1 species